rnacentral:rRNA from 1 species
UGGGGAAUAUUGCACAAUGGGCGCAAGCCUGAUGCAGCCAUGCCGCGUGUGUGAAGAAGGCCUUCGGGUUGUAAAGCACUUUCAGCGGGGAGGAAGGCGAUAAGGUUAAUAACCUCAUCGAUUGACGUUACCCGCAGAAGAAGCACCGGCUAACUCCGUGCCAGCAGCCGCGGUAAUACGGAGGGUGCAAGCGUUAAUCGGAAUUACUGGGCGUAAAGCGCACGCAGGCGGUCUGUCAAGUCGGAUGUGAAAUCCCCGGGCUCAACCUGGGAACUGCAUCUGAUACUGGCAAGCUUGAGUCUCGUAGAGGGGGGUAGAAUUCCAGGUGUAGCGGUGAAAUGCGUAGAGAUCUGGAGGAAUACCGGUGGCGAAGGCGGCCCCCUGGACGAAGACUGACGCUCAGGUGCGAAAGCGUGGGGAGCAAACAGG